GCGGUAUAAAGUGAAUUUGCAGCAGAAACACCCUGCUAAGGAACAAGUGUCUUGAUUCUCAGCAAAGAGGACAAAGAAAAGCUGCAAGCUGUAAGGCUGGACUAUUUCCCUUAGCCCUGGGGAGAGGGAUUGACAGAAACAUCACUUAGAGCUCUUGAAAGGCAGAGAUGCUUUAUCUCCAUCCAACCACCAUUCAUGGGAAGAAAACCACUGCAGUACUGCUGGAAGCCUUUUGCAUUGUUAAUCACAUCCUUCAGAAAGAUGUUUGUCCAACAUGAACAAAUGUCCAGCUGAACAAUACAGAAGACUAGACUCCAGUGGGUAAAAUCCAACUGUAAGCAGCCAGUAAUCUUGACUACACUAUCAUAUCGCUGUGAACAAAAUCAAGAGUCACAGCUUUGGAGAGAAAUCCACUGAAUCUCAGCAAAGAGCUGGUGCCUAAGAAUGCCUUGUUUAGAAGACCAGAGAUAAAACAGCUAUUAAUCAGGUUGCUUGCAUAAAUAACAAAGGUCUUCUGAGUAAACAUCAUCACGUGGCCCAAUGUGUCAUGAUGCAUCUGAGGAAAUGGAUGUAGAGAUUGUGGUGAGUCAGCAGAAAAGAAAUUCACUGCUGACCUACUCACGGAAAAACUUAAAAGUAGUGACAAUCCAUAAUAAAUAAACUCCAGGACUACUCAGACUUGAAGAACAACUCAUUGUCAGGGACCCCACAGCCACCACACUUGGCUCGGACAACAGGUCAAUAUCAGUGACUUUCCUCUUUAAAUGAAAGCUACAGUGCUAAUUUUCCUUGGGAGCAAAUUGUACAUGUGUUCCAAGUUCUCCAUCAUGCAGCACCUGACCGAUUCUUCUGGUCUAUCGACAAGAGCUCCUCUAAGUUCAUCAAUAACUUCCCUGCCUUUAUCUUUGCUCAGGCUGCCUUGGCAGCUUGCUUCAUCCUUUAUCUCUCUCCAUGUUAAGACAUUUGUCAAUUCCCAAUACAGAAAAAAAUAACCAAUAAAACAACAAUCAAAAAACAACAAAC
ensembl:lncRNA